rnacentral:rRNA from 1 species
UGAGUAACACGUGAGUGGCCUGCCUUUUAGACUGGAACAACUUACCGAAAGGUGAGCUAAUGCCGGAUGAGUUAUAUAAGUGCAUGUUUAUAUAGGAAAAGUUGGGGAGACCUGACGCUGAAAGAUGGACUCGCGUCCCAUUAGCUAGUUGGUAGGGUAAUGGCCUACCAAGGCGACGAUGGGUAGCCGGCCUGAGAGGGUGGCCGGCCACACUGGGACUGAGACACGGCCCAGACUCCUACGGGAGGCAGCAG